UACAGGGGAUGCAAGCGUUAUCCGGAAUUAUUGGGCGUAAAGGGUCCUGAGGUGGCUAUCCAAGUCUAUUGUGAAAUAUCAGGGCUUAACCCUGAACAUGCGGUGGAAACUAGAAAGCUUGAGUACAGUAGGGGCGGAGGGAAUUUCCGGUGGAGCGGUGAAAUGCAUAGAGAUCAGGAAGAACACCGGUGGCGAAAGCGCUCUGCUAGGCCGCAACUGACACUCAUGGACGAAAGCUAGGGGAGCGAAUGGG
rnacentral:rRNA from 1 species